rnacentral:misc_RNA from 1 species
CAACCCUCAAGCUCCGGCUUGGUGUUGGGGCCCUACGCCGACGCGUAGGCCCCGAAAAUCAGUGGCGGGACCCGCCGCCGCCCCGUGCGUAGUAGCUAACGCCUCGCUCCGGGACGCGGCGGGCUCCUGGCCGGUAAACCACCCCCCAUCGUACC